rnacentral:snRNA from 1 species
AUAAAAUUGGGAACGAUACAGAGAAGAUUAGCAUGGCCCCCGCGCCAGAGGAAUGACACCCACAAAUCGAAAAAGAGGGCCAAGUAUUUUUUUGCGAUUU